UGUUGUUGUGCUCAAGCCGUGUUGUUGUGGCAGUUAGAGCCACACGAAACCAGUAAUGACUUGUGGCGCGGAGGGGAGCGCGCGAAGGCAGGGCGACACCCGGUGUGAGAAUCAGCACGCGCCCCCCUGCUCGGCGUCCCGCCUCGCAGCAACGAGGCUCGUGCUCUAAUGAGAGGGAUUUAAUGGAUUUAUAGCGGCUGAGGAUUCCUGUGUGUCCGCAUGCGCUUGGCUUCGCCGAUUAGAAACGUCUGCAGUAAUUGUUGAGCUGCCUCCACGUUCACAGGACCCACAGAGAGAAAAAGUGCAUCUCCUUUCCACUGCGUUCCCACGGCCACGAUGAAAACAGGCAGUGUGAUGGCGCUGCAGCAGAGAGAGAAAGAUCUGGGUGACCAUCUGAAACCAAUUAUGGCGGUGCUGCAGCCACCCAGAAACUCAGUGACGGAUGGGGAUCUUGUAUUUAUAGCUGGGACAGGGGAGCUGAGUGCCAGAAGAAACAUUCAGCAAAGGAGAAAUGAGAGAUAGAAACAGAAAGACAGUGGAGUUGGAGGUAGGAGGGUAAUAUUUCAUGAAACGCUGCUGGUAUUAGUGUUAACCUGCGACCUGCUGUAUUCCUGCAUAUAGAACACAAGCAUUUGUCCUUGUUUUUAGUUGAGUCAUAGAGUUGAGGAUCAGGACUGCAAACGGGCAGCACUGGUUGAUGAAUGAGUCUCAGAUGUUCAGCGCUUUCACAAAACAGUAAGAGCUUAAAUUCCUUCACUAGGAGGAAAGUGAAAGAUUGCUCUGGAUAACUGAAAUUCCUCACGGUACCAUUCCUUAGAUUCCCUCUCAACAAAUAAGGCGCAUAAGGAACAGUUGCUGUCAGCAUUCCUUGGAUUGUCCAUUUGUGCCUGCAUGUAUGUUCCUUUACAUGCUUAUGUGCAUUGCAGGAAUUUCUGGCCACGCCAAAGGACGAUAAUGCCUAACAGUUGCUUGUGUUGGGUUGUUGUCUCAUAUUUUCUUGGACAUUCCACCCGACUCCUCAUCUUCCUCCUUUCUGUGUCACUCCUCCACACAGCCUUCACUCCCAUGGUGUCCCCCCACCCCCACCCCCCAUCUCACAUAACAUUUGUAUGCAAUCCUUGGAAGCCACAGCUUAUGAAAACUUUCACCUCGCAUUAAUUACGCUCUGUCUUACUGAAAUGCCUAAAAGGUGAGGUAGAUUAUAUCUUUAAGCGUAGCCUACUCACUCAACAAGAAUUGCAUUAUUUAGUCAUCACAGCCUUUGACAGCCUUUUUUCACUCUGAUCUGUUUCAUUUGUCCUCUUCUGGCUGGCCGCCCUCCUUCCCUGCAUUCCUCCCACCCAUCUCCUGUGAAGCUGCCUGCCUUUUUUGCUCACUGAAUGGAAAGAGCAGUCUGCAUUUAGCCGCCUCACGCUUUUUACGGCAGCAGUGAUUUUGCUUCUUGCUACCCUCUCUGCCAUGUCAUGAUGAUGUGAUUUCUUGACACAGGCGUCACUCUGCCAUUUGAAACCCCAGACCUGAAUGUGAACCUGCUGAAGAAGUGGUGGCGUAUGGCCUGGGUAAACACAGUGCGUGGGGGGAACCAGGGACACAACCUGUAGGUCUUAAAUGUGAAGGAAAAACAUCCAAUAACUGGGCCUGUGGGGAGCGAGCGAGGCCAGGGCUAACUUGAGCACAGGCCCGUCAAGAGCAGGCAUAGAAGUGAAGUUGGAUCACAGCAGAUCCAAGGGGUAUAUAGGUAACAGGCGGGAUUUGGAUCUGGGUCUUGCAAACAGGAAAUCAUUUUCCAGGGGGCAGUAUCCCCUUUGCAAGGCAGGAAAGUUUAAUUCACUUCUAAGUCAACUUACCAAGUAGAAUUUCUUAAAAAUAAAAGCUGAAAAUAGCCAUAAAAUUGCUGCAGUAACCUGUAGAGAAGUGAUUGGGGAUUAAGUGUGUUUACCAUUUAAUGAAUUGCAGUUUUGAAUUACAUGUUAAACCGAGUAAACUGAGAGCAAAUUGACCUCAACUCUGCAAGUGAGACAUUUGAGCUUUACACGGACAUGCACUGCUACUUAUGUAUCCGCCAUCCAUCCUGUACAUUCGCCCUCUCUGAAGAGGUAUGGAUGUCGUGCUUCAUGCUUGUUUUACCUCUGUGACUCUUUGUUCCACUUUCAACUUUGACCGCUGGAGUUUUAAGCACAGUCCAGGCCAGCAGCAGGGGUUCAUGGGAGAAAAAAAAUCACACACAGAGAGAACAGUGUAUUCAGCACAGAGCUCGAGGUGUUAACAGUAGUUGUGUCUAUGUGAGGGAUAACACAGCCAGACUUGGGUCAAAUAUUGAGAAAUAAUUUUCAUUGCAUAUUUUCACCUGUGUGAAGUGACAGGUGGGAUACCGUAAUAACUCUGAUGGUAUCAGGAAGAACAUGCUUAAUUGAAUUUUAGGGACUGUGACAGCCUCCACACACUCUGCACCUGCAGAAUUAAUCUAUGUAAUAUAGACAAAAGUAUU